rnacentral:tRNA from 1 species
GCCGGUGUAGUUCAAUGGUAGAACUCCUGCUUCCCAAGCAGGUGGCGCGGGUUCGAUUCCCGUCACCGGCUC